rnacentral:sRNA from 1 species
GAACCUGCCGCAGGUUUGGGUCUCACGCAGUGAGACAACGGAGCCGCUUGCGGCGACGGCCCGAAGGGCGAGCGAAGCGAGUCAUCCUGCACGACCCACCA